rnacentral:rRNA from 1 species
ACGUAGGGGGCAAGCGUUGUCCGGAAUUAUUGGGCGUAAAGCGCGCGCAGGCGGUUCCUUUAAGUCUGGUGUUUAAACCCGAGGCUCAACUUCGGGUCGCACUGGAAACUGGGGGACUUGAGUGCAGAAGAGGAGAGUGGAAUUCCACGUGUAGCGGUGAAAUGCGUAGAUAUGUGGAGGAACACCAGUGGCGAAGGCGACUCUCUGGGCUGUAACUGACGCUGAGGCGCGAAAGCGUGGGGAGCAAACAGGAUU